rnacentral:rRNA from 1 species
AUUGAACGCUGGCGGCAUGCCUUACACAUGCAAGUCGAACGGUAACAGGUCUUCGGAUGCUGACGAGUGGCGAACGGGUGAGUAAUACAUCGGAACGUGCCUAGUAGUGGGGGAUAACUACUCGAAAGAGUGGCUAAUACCGCAUGAGAUCUACGGAUGAAAGCAGGGGAUCGCAAGACCUUGGCCUACUAGAGCGGCCGAUGGCAGAUUAGGUAGUUGGUGGGAUAAAAGCUUACCAAGCCGAAGAUCUGUAGCUGGUCUGAGAGGACGAUCAGCCACACUGGGACUGAGACACGGCCCAGACUCCUACGGGAGGCAGCAGUGGAGAAUUUUGGACAAUGGGCGAAAGCCUGAUCCAGCAAUGCCGCGUGCAGGAUGAAGGCCUUCGGGUUGUAAACUGCUUUUGUACGGAACGAAAAGCCCUGGGUUAAUACCCUGGGGUCAUGACGGUACCGUAAGAAUAAGCACCGGCUAACUACGUGCCAGCCGCCGCAGUAA